UUUCUCUGUGUUCAAAAGGGCUAUGCAGAUUUUCACUUUUUUAGAUGGAAUCAUUCUUCUUUUUCUUUAUUUUUUUCAUUCUUCAUUUCAAGAGUUUGGUGAAGCUGCUGCAUUUAGCAAGUGUUGCACAGGUUUUAAAAUUUGCAGUGGCCAACUUUUUUCUCAAAUGUGAUUCUAGGUCCAGAAUGGGGUGUUUAUUGCUUGCUUGGUUGAUUAUUUUGUUUAUGUUCAUCAUUAUAUAAAAGGGCAAAUGUUUAUUUUGUUUAUGUCCUCAGUUUAUUGAGUCAAACAUUACUUCAAUCAACGAUGAGAAUCAACACCCUCCCAUAGGAUUUGAUAUACUUUUUCCUUCUUUGAUUGAAUAUGCACAAAAUUUUGGCAUUAACCUUCCAAUUGGAGCUACAAGCUUGGAAGUAAUGAUCCAGAAGAGAGAAAUAGAGCUCCAAAGGUAGCAUUUUGGGCUAUGUAACAAAUGCAACAGCAAGAGGCAAUGAAGGAGGAAUAAGUGGGGCCCAAACAGGGGGACACGUGGCAGAACUAGGAGGAGAGAGGCGUAGCACAAGGCUCAAAAUAACCAACUCCAAGCUAGCCGAGUAUGUGUGGUCCCGGAAGUAGAAUAAAUAGCAAAACGUGGGAGGGAGUGAGGCAUGGAAUUUGUGUGAUGUCAUUUCCCUUCUCCUUUGGGAAUCUGUUCUUCCUUUUUCUAUCAUACAUUUCUGCCAUUGUUGUCUCUGUAAUUGCGGGAUUCCGUUGAGAUCCUUGCUUUUCAGUAAUAAAAUUCUCUGUUCCUCCCUUUACUUGCAUUUUUUUGGUACGACUGUUACAGGCUAUAUCUUGUAUGUAUUUCAAGAUUUUUCCUGUCUUCAAAAUAUUUCUGAUCUUUGUGAUUCGGUGCCAAGAAUUUAGUAGAGAAGUCUUAUUUUUCAUUUCGCUUAAAUUCCUCAAGCUGACCUCUUUCUGGUGCUUGUUUUUGAGGUAGUCAGACUAUGAAGCACGGACACUCCAGCUCCUUGCCGUGUCCGGUGUCCGACACGACACCGACACCCAUGUCCGGGUUGAGUUUGAUGUGUUUGACAGGUGUUUACGUGUCCGGUGUCCGUGUCAGUGUCGGUGCUUCAUAUCAGAGCAAUUCAGAUGGGAGGAGAGCAUAUCUAGCAUAUGUUUAAGAAGGAAUGCUGGAAUCACAAGACUGGAAAUCAAUCAUGAAAUAUCAAAGAAAGAAUGGAUAUUUGUUUAAUUCACCUGCUACAACAGCAGCUGUUUUUCAGCGCCUUAAGAAUGCUGAAUGUCUUGGUUACCUCCGAUCUGUAUUAGAAAAGUUUGAGAAUGCAUGUAUGUUUCCAGCAUUAUGUUUCUCUUAAUUUAAUUUUACUGACUAUUUUUUUGUAGAUUAAUUGGCCUUUCUUUUUUGUUUUUGAAAAUAAAAUCAGUUCUGACAACUUAUCCUCUGGAUAUAUAUGCCCUCUCUAUAUGAUUGAUAGUCUUGAAAGGUUGGGUGUUAAUCAUCAUUUCAAAGAGGAAAUUCGAAGUGUAUUGGAUGAAAUAUUCAGGUAAUAAUCAUUUGAGGUGCAUACACCUGUUUAUGUAAAAUAUUAACUUUAUGUCAGUAACUGGAGAAGUUGGAAAGAAAUUAUAAAAGUAUGUGAUGAAGAUAUAGAGAUACCAUUCUAUUUAAAGUAUUCAGCACUCUUUGAUAGUAAAUUUGAAAGCACUCAAAUAUUUGUCAAAGCAUAGAUACUUAUCAUUUUCAUCUGUUGAAUCCCUCUAUAUAUAAUAUGCGAAAAAGACAGAUAUUGGAUACAAGGAGUGGAGAAUAUAUUCCUAGACCCCACCACCUGUGCAAUGGCAUUUCGUAUGCUGCGUCUCAAUGGCUAUGAUGUAUCUUCAGAUCCAUUUUAUCAAUAUUCUGAAGAUAAAUUUGCUGAAUCCUUGAAAGGGUACUUGAAGGAUGUCGGUGCUGUUAUAGAACUAUAUAGGGCUUCACAAGCCAUUAUACAUCCCGAUGAAUCAAUUUUUGUCAGACAAAGUUUGUGGACAAAACAUCUUCUGAAGCAGGAAUCCUCCCCUUACAGAUUAUAUGCUGAUAAACUUCGUCGUUAUGUUGAUCUAGAGGUCAAGGAUGUUCUUAAUUUUCCUUAUCAUGCAAAUUUGGAGCGAUUGUUGAACAGGAGAUCAAUGGAGCAUUACAAUGCAGUAGAAACAAGAAUUUUAAGAACAUCAUAUAGUGUGGUCCAGAUCUUGCAAACCAAAAAAUUCUAAAGCUAGCAGUAGAAGAUUUCAAUAUCUGCCAAUCAAUACACAUUGAAGAGUUGAAACAACUUUCAAGGUGGGUUGUUGAGACCAGACUAGACACACUAAAAUUUGCAAGGCAGAAACUGGCUUAUUGUUACUUCUCCUGCGCAGCUACUCUUUUCUCCCCUUAAAUUUUUUAUGCUCGCAUAUCAGGGGCGAAAAUGGGGUGCUCACAACUGUUGAUGAUUUCUUUGAUGUUGGGGGUUCUGAAGAGGAACAAGUGGAUCUUAUUCAACUAGUUGAGAAGUGGGAUGUAGAUAUCAAUACUGUUUGUUGUUCUGAGACUGUUACGAUAAUAUUUUCUUCAAUUCACAGCACAGUUUGUGAGAUUGGGGAGAAAUCAGUCAAUUGGCAAGGGCACAAUGUGAAAAACAAUGUUAUCAAAAUUUGGUUGAAUUUGAUCCAAUCAAUAUAUAGAGAAGCUGAGUGGUUGAGAACCAAGACUGUGCCAACAAUUGAUGAUUAUAUGCAAAAUGCAUACAUAUCAUUUGCCUUAGGUCCAAUUAUCCUUCCAGCCCUCUAUCUCGUCGGACCUAAGCUUUCAGAUGAAGAUGCUGAAAAUCAUGAGUUGAACUCUCUAUAUAAGCUCGUGAACUGAUGUGGUCGUAUUCUUAAUGACAUUCACAGUUUUAAGAGAGAAUCUGAGGAAGGGAAAUUGAACGUGCUGCCUUUGCACAUUGCUCAUGGCAAUGGAAUUAUUACUGAAGAAGAUGCUAUGGAAGAGAUGACAGGAUCCAUAAAUGUUAAGGAUGCAUCCCUGUAACGUUUUCUGGUGAAUGGAAGGUUUUUUUUUUUAGCAAAAAGGAGCAAGGGCCUGACAUCCCAACUAUGUUGGCAUCCCAACCCCUACCUCCCCAGAAGGACCCAGCUCAAAUAUAUAUUGAUAGUAAAAGGAAGGAUAAUAAGACACUUGGGAGGGUCAGACCAUACUCAAGGAAAGCCUUUUACAGAAAUCUGUAGAAAGGAAGCCCUUGCCUGUACCUAAAGAACUCCUUAGAGACAAAAGAAGGUGGAGAAUGCCACCAAGUAUACCCCAAACCUUGAGAACCUAAAACAGCAAGCUUGUCAGCACAAGCGUUGCCUUCUCUAUAUAUGUGAGUAAUUCUAAAACUAAAACUUUGAGUUAGCUUGAUACAAUUUAAGCAUCUAGUGUAAAUUGACCAAUGAACCAAAAAAGGAUCGGAGUACGCCUGCAGCCAGAAGUUCAGAAUCAGUUUCCAACCAAAGAUUUCUCCAGCCUUUACUAACCGCUUUUUCGAUUGCCAGGAUGGCAGCCAUUGAUUCUGCAAAAAAAGCUGAUUUGAUCCCAAUAUUGCACACAAAAGUCCCCACAAAAAGUCACUAUCUAUGAAAAAACCGCCAAAGCCUGCCAUACCAGGGUUUCCUCUCGCUUCCCUCAGUAUUACACUUAAUCCAAGUGCGUCUAGGCGGUCUCCAAAUGACUUCCUUGAUGGAAUCUGCUUUCCUAGGAUUAGUUGGAACAUCAAAAUUUUUAAGAAUUCUGAAAUCUAGCAGAGUUGUUCAUGGUUCCAACAGAGAAGUUUCCUGAGAGGUGAAUAGAGGUAACGAAAGAAGUGAAAUCCAACUUCUGGUUAUCAAAUCUGCAAGAAUUACGAGCAGACCAAAUAAAAAAUAUAGAAAAAGUUACAGCUGCCGGGACAAUGUCAGAGGCCUGGGAAGACCUCCUUGUCAUGCAAAAAGAGAUGAGACUAUGGAUGGAGGAGAGGUCCAGAUUACAACAGAUCUUGGACUCCACCCAAUUCCAGACCUGUCUGGCAAAGUGACAAGAGAGAUAAGUGAUCAAUUGUCUCAUAAUCAUGACCACAAUUAGAGCAAACUGAAACAACAACAAUGCCUCUUCUUCUCAUGUCAGCAUCCGUGGGUAGCUUGUUGAGCAAAGCUUUCCAAAGAACAGCUGUUUUGGAGGGCGGGAUAGAGUAAUUCCAAAAUUUCUUGGCCCACAAGACUGCAUUCAACUUAGGAUUAAUCUUGGAAGGACAAAGCUCCAGAAUGAGACUAGCUCCAAACUAGCCUAUCCUCAGACUGAGAAAUGGGAAUAGUGACUUGCAGAAUAUGACCCACCAGUUGAGAAAAGUUCUGGGUGAGGAAGUUAGGAAGGUUCCAAAUGCCCUCAUUCCAAAAGUCACAAACAGAAGCUUUUAUAAGACUCUUGUUCUUAUAAGGGAUAUUAAGAGUAUCAGCAAUGCUAGUGCCCAACCAAUUAUCACACCAGAAACUCAUAGACCCUUUUCCCCAAAUAGCAUUCUCCAACACCAAGGCAAAACUGGGCUUUAUACCGGUCCAUAAGGAAGAAGAAAUGUGACCAUUAAUAGGCUUUUGAUUCCUCAAAACUCUAACUUCAGCAUAGUGGCCCUGUUAAAUAGAAGCAAAAGAUCUUAAGCCUAAGCCUCCUUUAUCAAAAGGCUUACAAACAUUAUGCCACGCUACUGUAACACAUUUCCGAGAAUCAAUAUCCCCACUCCAUAUGAAGUUACGAACCCAACACUCAAGAUCCUGCAAGAGCGACUGAGGCCAUUUAUACUCAUGAAAACUGUGAGUUAACAUACUUUGGAUGAAGAUUUAACUAAGAGAACUCUUCCCAUAAAAGAGAGCAAAUUUCCCUUCCAGCUAGCUAGCUUGAGCUUGAUUCUGUCUGCUAUAGGCUGCAAGUGUCUCCUUCUCGGUGAAUUGAAGGGUUAAAAAAAGAUGUCAUUUACUUAAUUGCUUUGUGUAUUGGCUCCCUUGGCUGGUGAUCCUCAUAGUGACUAAACUUUGGGUAGGUGUUCAGCUAGGCAAGGGAUUGUUGCUAACAUGAAUUUGAUAUGAUAAAUUAGCAAACAAUAUAUACUAAUCUUAAAACUUGAAUUUGCAAUGUAA